AUGAGACGGAGACAUCUGAGAGCGAUGACUUCCGAGGCUUGGAGUAAGAUUGUUUCCUUGCAGUGGAAAAAGAGACAGGAAGGGGAAAAAAGUUUGGGGGGAGGCUUGGUGAGAAGACUCUGUGGAGCCCAGAACUCAGGGGUCAAGUCCAGGUUUUCCCAGCCCCCAGCAUCCCUCCCGCUCUCCUCCGCUCCAGAGAGAUGGACAGAAUCAGGGAGAGGCGUGAAGGAUGGGGAGGAGAGGACAUGAGCCUGAAGUGAUAGAUUGACGCUUACAAUGAGAAACAGUGGGAACAGAUUUUUUUAUGGACGAAAAAAGUGUUUACUUUUUGAAUUUCACAUCCAAUGUGUUUGGCUUCUGUAGGGUUCAUUUUUUAUUAGUUGCAGUUGAUGGUAAAGAAUGUGUAUUUUGCAUAUUUUAGGAACACAGCAACCUCUCUGCUGAUGUUUUUCAGAACUUUCAAAUAACUAAGGAAUUUUUUAUUAUUAUUAUUAUUCAAAAAAAAAAAGAUGGAUGUUUUUACAUUAACAAAACUUUCAGAAAAUAAUUUAUAGAACUUAAUAGAAAUUUGAGAACAAUUUUGGUUAAUUUCUAUUUGACAUGUAUACCCUUCUCAUUAUAUAGUAGCAUGCAGAAGUUUGUUGUCUGUAGGAUCUUUUGAUGAUUUUGAAAGAAGUCUCUUAUGUUCACCAAGACUGAAUUUGUUUGAUCAAAAAUACAACACAAUGUGAAAUAUUAUUACAGUUUUAAUAAACGAUAUUGCUUGUAAAUUCCAUUAUCAGCAGUCUUACCAUUGAUUUCAUGCGUUCUUGUUUCACGCUCAUGUCUGUUCUUUGUUUUAUUAUUGAUCAAAGAUUCCUGGAAAAAAAAAAAAAACGUUUUUCACAAAAAAAACGUUUGAAUAUCUAUACAAAUGUAAUUUAUUCCUGUGAUGCAAAGCUGAAUUUUCUUCAGUGUCACAUGAUCCUUCAUAAAUCUUUCUAAUAUGACAUGAAUGCUGAUGCUCAACAAACAGUUUUACUAUUGUCAAUGUUGAAAAAAAAAAUGUGCUGCUUAAUUUUUUUUUUUUACAGGAACCCUUGAUCAAUAAUAAAACAAAACAAAACAAAAAACAGACAUGAGCAUGAAACAAGAGCACAUGAAAUCAAUGGUAAGACUGCUGAUAAUGGAAUUUACAAGCAAAAUUAAAUCAUGAUGGUUUAAUUGCUAUAAGUUGAGACCCUGUGCCACCCUAUGACCCUAUUUUAAGUAAUGUCCUCCAUGUCACCCUCUGUGUGUCUGUCUGUGUGUCUUGCUGUCUGUCUCCUCAGGUGAAGUGUGGAGUGAUAGGGCCCAGGACUGCUCUUUCUUUCACCUUCUUGUCUCCAAAGUGCCAGGCGUUUCACUCAGGGUGAGAGAUGUUAUUGAGGUGUGUGUUAUUCUUGAUGUCAGCCUCCAGCCGGGAGCAGGAGUCAACACAGUUAGUUACAUGCACAGCGCCAUCAGCCUGUCAGUCAAGUCAGGUAAUCACACCCCCACUGGUUCAAACACGUGCUCUCACAUGCACACGCAAACAUACAGGGGCAACUAGUUUCACACCUAAGACACCUUUAAUGCAGGUGCAUUUAAGUCCAAUGUUUCCUGAACUCUGAUUCCACUCUCAUUUUACCCUUUGUGUUCACUCUACAGCCCUUCCAUUCCCAAAUCAUUAUGUUACAGCAUUAUCCAUGUGGAGAUAAUAUCCUCUUGGGCAAUCAGUCACUGGGUAUGUCGAAAGAACCACACACGUUCAAGCACACUCCUUUAAACAUAAAUUAUUGUCAUCAAUGUCUCUGUGUAACUAAUACAUUUAGACUAUUGAUGUGUUUAUGAAUUUGUAAUAAUUUUUUUUCAAUCAAUUUAUUUUUUCAGGAUUCCUUGAUGAAUAGAAAGUUCAAAAGAACAGCAUUUAUUUGAUAUAGAAUUUUUUAAUUUAAUUUUUUAAUAAUAUUUUAUUCUCUUUACUUUUAUUGUCUUUUUACAAUUUGUCAUCUUUAAUUAAAGUGUCUAUAUAUAUAUAUAUAUAUAUAUAUAUAUAUAUAU
rnacentral:lncRNA from 1 species